GGCUUGAUGAAAGUGAGCCAAUGAUGUUGCAGCCUUCAUGUCUGCCACCAUGGCUAUGCCAUCCACUGUGUAAACACUAGUGUGGCUGAGAGUAAAGACUGGCUGAAAUUUGCUGGAAGAAUUAUCCUGUCCACCUUGCUGUUCAGUAUUCUUUAGUGGGCAUUAACAUGAAAAAAAAAGAUCCUCACACUUCAUAACUACUUCCACAGAUAAAUCUCCAGAUAUCUUUGUUUCUAAUUAUUCAAUUUUGUUCUUUCCAGGACCUCAGCCAACCAGCUAAUCAUUUCUCAGUGCUCAGGAAAACACACACGUUUUUACAUGAGGCUGUUUGUCCUGUCACGUCUAGCUGAUGAUCACACAAAAUUCUGCCCACUAUGAGGAUUUCACUUAACUAUCUCUCAAGGCUGCUUCUAAGUGGGUGUAAAAUGUGGUAACAUUUUUGCUAUCAACACAUCCAGCCUACCCAUCAUGAGCUGGGCCACGUAUUUACAUAAAUGACAUGUGCCCCACAGUCUUGCUUGGAUUAUCUCCUGAAUGUAUUAUCUCCAUCAUAUGAUGGAUAUUUGCUAGUGGAUCUAACAAUACCCAGGUCAUAAUGGGCAGUUCCGAACACAAAGGAAUUUGAUUCCCACAGUUAAGCAAUGCUGAGGCCUAGCAGCUUGCUAAGAGCUAGCUUUUCAAAUUCUAAACAGUUCCCUUCUGCAGACCUCAUGCUCUUGCUCUAAAAUCCUAGAAUCUUCAUAGAAACUCUCUUAAGUCUUCCUAAAUAUUCCACAUGGUCACCGUAUCUACUACAAAUGCCUCUAGCCACGUGGAAGCGCUUGGGUCAUAUCACACCAAGUGCGGGGCUGCUUAAUUUCUGCUGCAGUGGUCUUUCUUGUUCUGGCCCCUCAUGUCCUUAUCUUCUUCUUGGGUUUCCUAAUGGAUUGGAUCUGCCAUGCAUCUGCAUGAAAAGCACAUGACCUUUUUUUAGGUCUUCAAGAAGCAGGUUCAGAAACAAACAAACAAACAAACAAACAAAAAUCAGGGCAAAUAGUUUAUUUGGAAGGUGCAGUGAACACCAGCAGAAAAGUAGGGAAAUUAUCCAUUGAAAGGAAGUCAGCCAAUAGGGGCAAAUUACUAAACCAGCUAUCACAGAGAGCAAACAG
rnacentral:lncRNA from 1 species